AUAGCAUAAUCUCCUUGAAGAUAUUUUGAAGGCAGUUAAAGUCAACGUGUGGAAUGCUAAUAACAUACCUAACGAACUGAAGUGGUGAAAAAUAGGUACAGCUCUGAUCCCACGUGUGACCACAAAAAAGACUACAGCACAACUGCCACCCUCGGGCUAACGGCGAUUUUAACAUGCAUUCUGACUUCAUAGAUGGUAAAAUAUGACAAAGGUGCGACUUAGAGUGAAUGAAAUAUGGCAUAAAUUUUUCUCUAGGAAAUCUGCUUUUUCCGGGUAGCCUGUGAGAUCCUUUCAAAAACUGAGUCUCACCCAUGCAUACUUGGCAUCGAGAAAGCUGAAAGAAAAGAACAGGCAGCUAGCAUUUCUUAGCCCUGGACCAUGUGCCGGGUACGGGGUUACCUGCUGUCCCGUAGGUUGUUUAGUUGGCCCAUCACAACCUUCCAAGGGUGAGCAGCAUUUGCAUCAUCACACAGAGUAUUUUUAAAAACCAGAGUGGCACACCUAGAGUACUUAUAGGCUCCUACAAUGCUUGCAAUAAAAUGUCUGCUUGUGAAAUGAGUGAGUACACAGAGACGAAAUAACUUGGUCACAAUCAAGCAGCUAGUUGAUACCAAACCAAAAACUGAUCCUUGGCUCAUCUGACUCAAAGCUCAUGAUUCUGGCAGCAUGCCAGUCUAGCUUUCAGUGGAUCUAGCAAUGAAUGGGAGCCAAAAAUGUCUACUAAAUGAGUUGGAAGGUUGCAGGAAAAAGGUGGGAAAGAGGGAAGGAGAGGAAAGGAGGGGGAAAGAAGGAAGGAAGGAUGGAUGGAUGGAUGGAUGGAUGGAAGGACAGGAAAAAAUAGGAAGAGGACAAGAAAAAAAUGGAAAAAGAGGAUGAAACAAGGAAGAAAGCUGCCAGCAAUGGCUAAACAUUAAGUAACUAGAUUGGAUGGAUUCUGUUUUCACAAAGCCAAUGCUGGCUUUCUUCUAGAUUUUACUAGUUUUAUAGUGAUCCUAGAAUGUUCUCUAAACAUCAGAUUUUGAAAACACAGCUACAAUUGCCACUUGUUUUCAAGGUCUUGACCACCUGAGGAUUAACAAGUAAUCCAGUUGCUCACUGUGAGCUGAAGGAAUCAAUACCCAGGAACACACCUCACUGGUCAGCUAUGUGAGUGUGAAGCACUCGGGAUUUUAUAUCGGGUGUGCAUGCACUUAAACUGAUAACUCAUUGAAAAAGUAUGUGGUGAGACUCCUGGACAUUAUAUAUCCAACCCACUAAAUACUUAGACUCGAGCAUUAACCCCACAGAAGAAGUGGGGAUGCUCCAACCCAGAGGAAGAUAAGUUUUGAGCAUUUUAACCAAGAUCCAAUACAGCGGGAGUGGAGAGACACUAUUACCCUAGGCAAACAUUUUCCUUCUUUUUAAUUUUUCUUCUUUAUCAGUGGCACCCAAGGUGUAUGGAAGUUUCCUUGGCCAGGGGUCGAAUCUGAGCCGCAGCUGUAACCUCAGCCACAACUGUGGCAAUGCCAGAUCCUUAACCCAAUGUGCCACACUGGGAAUUUCCUCUUUACUCUUCUUAUUCAAUAAUUCUUCUGGUCCCUUAGUUCCAGCUGAAGUUCCCAUUUGGGUCAGAAAGUUCUUGAUAUGCAAAAAUAGUGGUAGUGAAAGGAGAAUUGGAAUAGAGGUCAGGAGAACCAAUUCUAGGCUGAGUCCUGCUCCUGACAGACUCUCUCCUUGAGGGAACUCCAGCCAGGCUCCUCCAAAUUUCCUGCUGGACUCAACCUCUGGAUUUCAACCUUGGCCUAUACAGACUUGGACAAACACCAACACAGUUUCUAGUGGCUCAAACCUGCAGCCAUAGGAUGCCUGUUGCUCCCUGGAAAGUGUCUCCCUGGCAAAACUCAAGACUGCUAGAAGAAUUGACUGUGUGCUCCAGCCGCCACAUGAAGAUAGGACCCCUGACCCCCAGCCUGUGUGGGAGGGGAGAGCCUAAUUCCUCUGAGCCCUGGUUUGCAGACCCAGAUGGGUUUCAUAGGGAAUGACAUGCACCUUCCCUCUUUCUGUCCAUUUUUACUGUCCUGCCCCGUCAGACCCCUCUCAUCCCACUCCCUCGCCCCUCUUUCUGCCUUUAAAGUGCCCAGCCACCUCUGCUCAAAAGAAGGUCCAGUUCACACUGGACUCUUUCCCCAUCACAAUAAUAUAUUACUGAUUAACACCUGUCCUUACAACUUAACAUUGACCCCAGCUUUGUUUAUCUUUGACGCUACACAACGCACUUGCCACAUGACCUUGGACAAAAUGCUUCACCCCUCCAGAUCUCCUUAAAAUCAAGGAUCUAAGUAUUGAGAGAUUCAGGGACCCUGCUAAACAGAUAAUAUCGUUCUGCCUCCUCAAUGUCUGCAGGUGGUAAUGCAUCACUGAGGAGAAUUUUCUAUACUCCCAGAAAUGCCACUUUGCAUUUAAACAACAGGUUUUAACUGAAUCAUACAGUAAUACAGAUUCCUGGUAGGAAGUUGGAAAUUAAGAAAUAAAAGAAAACUGUGGAAGAGAAGGAAAGAUAAUCCCAUCAUGCAGAGAUAACUUUUAUAACUAUCUGGAUGUAUCGUCUCCAAUAUUUGUUAUGCAUACAGAUUUAUAAUAUUUGUUAUGCAUACAGAUUUAUAAACAUAUUGCACAGACAUGUACAUUUAGCUUUUUUUUUUUAACGUAUUACUUUGAACAAACUCCCAUGUCAUUAGUCUUUGAAAAAUCUGGUUUUUCAUAAAAUGCCAUCCAAUGGAUUGACUACCGUUAAUGUGAAUAUUUUUCCGUUGUUGGUCUUUUCAGUUAUUUUGAUUAUUUUCUUUUUACAAAAAUGCUACUAAGAGCAACUGCACACAUGGGUAUACACAUAUAUUUAUGCUUUUACAAAUAACAUAUCAGAAGGAUCAUACGACUAAUUUAAAGGACUGGGACCAGGGAUGGGGGGAUGUGCUUGGGCUGUGGGAUGGAAAUCCUGUGAAAUUGGAUUGUUAUAAUCAUUAUACAACUACAGAUGUGAUAAAUUCAUUUGAGAAAUUAAAAAAAAAAAGAAAAAUAAAGGACUGGGACCAAUUUUGAUUUGUCUUGCAGAAAGGUUGCAGCAAUUUGCCAGGCUCGGACAUUAUGAGAAAAUUCACAGUCACAUUAAAGCUCACGUGAUAACAACGGCAAAACUCCACGGCACAUUCUUUUUACCUACUAGGAGAAAAUCGUCUGUUACUGAUGUGUUAACAAUCAUGUCUUUGAUUACUAUUAAGAUUGCAUUUUUUUUAUUUUUUCUUUAUAUGCAAAUCUCUUAUAAGCUACCUUUUGGACAUGCUUUUUUGGGGGGAUGGUGUUUAUUUUUCCUUAUAGACCUAAAGUCUUUAAAUGAUAAGGGUAUAAAACAUUGCUGUGUUUGCUAUGUAUUUUUUUUUUUUUUUUGGUUCUUGGUGUUUUUUUUUUUUCCACACUGGUGGCAUAUGGAAAUUCCUGGGCCAGAGGCUGAAUCUAAGCCGCAGCUGCCCCUAUGCUGCAGCUGCAGCGACUCCAGAGCCUUAACUCACUGCACCACAGUGGAAACUCCAUCCAUAUUUUAUUUUUAUUGCUAAAGGUGUUUUGUUUAUAAUAGCUAAGGAAAUCUAUUUUUAGGACAGAAGUCAAGCUCCCUGAAGCCAUGGAAAUAUUUCACUUCCCACCAGAAAUACAUUCUUUUGGUAUUAGCACAGAGCUUUUAAAACAAUAAACAUGGGAUUCACAUCAGAAUUGUCCCUCUCAAUUUUUUUCAACGAAGCUCAAUUCUCAGCCCAUAAAAACAGCAAAACCUAAACUUUCCCUUAUUUUAAUUCUACAGUUAUUUUUUUAAACAAGGAGAAGUAUCCAAAGGAGGAUGCAAAAAAUCACUUGAAAAAUGGUUUUUUCCAGUCCUCCCCUCUCUAGUAGGCACGGUGAAUUCAGAACAUUUCUUUUGUGAGGAACUAUCACUAUUCCAAAAGAGUCUAACAGGAUGUAAAUGCAGGAAUGGAUUCUUUCCCAAAAUCGGCAGAAAUGAAGGAUGAAAGCCUUUGGCUGCGUGUCGUGGAGCAAAUGCAUUUAGAACUGGGAUCUCAGAACCUCAUUCUUUAGCAUCACUGCUUUCUUUAUCAGCCUCAUCUCCUUCUAAGCCUUUAGGAACCUAAGGCUAUCUAAAGACUUGCCCCGCUUGUUGGUAUCCUGAAUAACCAAUACGUCUUCCUCUCCUUCUGCAGCCCAUCAAGCCUGCUUCUGUGCCCUUCAGCUUGGGCUUCCUUAAGCAUAUGCCUUCAUGGUCUUCACUGUUCAUGAUUUUAAACUUGAGCUACAGCCUGACAGACUCCUGUGCACAACACACCUUCUGUGGCUGAUCCUGUGUCUCUUCUUCCUGUAAAAGAGAAAAUAAAAGUCACACCCAACAUCCCACCAAGAUAAAACUUACCGCUAAGAUUCUGGCACUUCCCCAUCCAACAUUUUGUCUAUGCUUAGGUAUAAAUACUAUAUACCCUACUGCUUCUCACUUUUAAAAUUUAAAAUUAUGUUGUCAUCAUUUCCCCAAACUAUAAUUCUUAGUAGUGUAUGGUAAUCAAUCCAAGGACUCUUCAGUAGAAAGAAACUUAAGCUGCUGUUUAGUUUUUCCUGCUUUUGGUAAUGUUGGUUAAAUAAUGGGGCUUUGCUUGCAUUCCAGUUACUUCCAUAGGGCAAAUUCCUAGGAGGGAAAUUAUGUAAAAAAAAAAAAAGAUGUGACUAUAUAAGCCUCUUGGCAUAUGUAUUAGAAAUAGGGCAAGAGAAAGCGAAACACAACAUGUAAAUGCAAACAUAUAUUUUAAAAGAAAUUCUACACUGAGGUUGGGAAAUGUUUUAGUACAUAGAAAUAUUCUGGCUUGUGUUCCUUAGUGUGUAUCAGUAUUACCAGUUUUUGAAAGUAAUAAUCAUUACCUGAUUUCUUACAACAGGAAUUUAAAGAACAAACACAUAGGGAACACUUUAACACAGUUUCUAAUACAGAUAUCAAAAGGCUCCAAAUGGGGAAGUACUCUCCACAGAGUCCCUAACCCUUGAUUCCCAGGCCUUCGUGCUUUUAGAAGGAGCAGAAUUUCCCCCACUUUGAAAGCUAAGAAAGAGAAGCAGCUCUCUGUAGCUGAUGGGAGAGGCUGGCUGGGUGGGCUGAUAGGGGAGUGAUAGAGGUCAGAGCGAUAAGAUGCUGGAGCAAUAGUCCUGUGUCCCUGGAGAGAUUACAGAGGUGCUAUCUGCUUGUUAAGGAAGGUCAACGGCUGGCAGGCUCUGUGGGGACAAGGUAAUCAGGAUAAAAGCAAAUUUUUUUUGCCAUUGACUGGAAGAACGCUUCAUCUCAGAUCUUAGAUAUCCAAACAGGACUCUUCUCCAAGCAUGGCCUGUGAUCUUCGUGUAAAAAAGUACAAGGAAUUGGUGAAUUUCCUGGUGUAAAAUAAGUAACUAUUGACAAGCUAGUCCAAAUCUAUUAUUUCAGUUUUAUGUCCUGCUUCUCCUUUCCCCCUCUUCUGUGUCCCAUCAAAGCCCUCUAGUCUUGCUCUGUAUGUCCUGGAUGCGUGAACCAAACAUGUGUCUGUGUUUUUGUUUAAUGCGUAUUUUCUGCCUAGACAGAAUUUUUUUCCAUUGGCAGGCUAGGAUCCCUCCCUGAAUGCUAAACUCCCAAAUCACUUUCCUUCUCACUAACUCCAUAGAAAUAAUUGCUCUCAGAGUUACCAUUGUGGCUCAGCAGUAAUGAUCCUGACUAGUAUCCAUGAGGACAUGGGUUCAAUCCCUGGCCUUGCUCAGUGGGUUGCCAUGAGCUGUGGUGUAGUUUGAAGAUGCAGCUUGGAUCUGGUAUUGCUCUGGCUGUGGUGUUGGCUGGCAGCUGUAGCUCCAAUUCGACCCAUAGCCUGGGAACUACCAUGUGCCACAGAUGUGGCCCUAAAAAGCAAAANAAAAAAAAAAAA
rnacentral:lncRNA from 1 species